ACAGCAGCAGCCGCGGUAAUACAGAGGGUGCGAGCGUUAAUCGGAUUUACUGGGCGUAAAGCGUGCGUAGGCGGCUAAUUGAGUCGGAUGUGAAAUCCCCGAGCUUAACUUGGGAAUUGCAUUCGAUACUGGUUAGCUAGAGUGUGGGAGAGGAUGGUAGAAUUCCAGGUGUAGCGGUGAAAUGCGUAGAGAUCUGGAGGAAUACCGAUGGCGAAGGCAGCCAUCUGGCCUAACACUGACGCUGAGGUACGAAAGCAUGGGGAGCAAACAGGAUUAGAUACCUCUGUAGUCCCUGUCUCUUAUAC
rnacentral:rRNA from 1 species